AAUAGAUACCCAGGUAGUCCACGCCGUAAACGAUGAGUGCUAAGUGUUGGAGGGUUUCCGCCCUUCAGUGCUGCAGCUAACGCAUUAAGCACUCCGCCUGGGGAGUACGGUCGCAAGACUGAAACUCAAAGGAAUUGACGGGGGCCCGCACAAGCGGUGGAGCAUGUGGUUUAAUUCGAAGCAACGCGAAGAACCUUACCAGGUCUUGACAUCUCCUGACCGCCCUGGAGACAGGGUCUUCCCUUCGGGGACAGGAUGACAGGUGGUGCAUGGUUGUCGUCAGCUCGUGUCGUGAGAUGUUGGGUUAAGUCCCGCAACGAGCGCAACCCUUGGUUCUAGUUGCCAGCAUUCAGUUGGGCACUCUAGAGCGACUGCCGGCGACAAGUCGGAGGAGGGUGGGGAUGACGUCAAAUCAUCAUGCCCCUUAUGACCUGGGCUACACACGUGCUACAAUGGAUGGUACAAAGGGCAGCGAAGCGGCGACGCAUGAGCGAAUCCCAGAAAACCAUUCUCAGUUC
rnacentral:rRNA from 1 species